GUAGCAUUUUCGUGACGCCAUUUUAUAAUUGUUCUUUGGAGUGCGAAGUGUGAAUUAGUUUUUAUUAAAACGUAAUUUUUCUAAAAAUUUGUUCAGAAAAUAAAAGAUCUGAAGGAAAUAUACUAUGAGUGGAGGUGGAAAUAAUUCUGCUCGACCGCCACCAAGAAUUGACGGCAUGAUUUCCCUAAAGGUUGAUAAUUUGACAUAUCGUACUACUCCUGAAGAUUUAAGACGUGUCUUCGAACGUUGUGGCGAGGUUGGUGACAUCUACAUACCUCGCGAUAGAUAUACUCGAGAAAGUCGAGGUUUUGCCUUUGUUAGAUUUUAUGAUAAACGGGAUGCUGAGGACGCAUUAGAGGCUAUGGAUGGCCGCAUGCUCGAUGGCAGGGAGUUGCGUGUUCAGAUGGCCCGUUACGGUCGUCCAACUUCACCGACACGUCGCACCAAUAACCGACGUGGAGGUGGUGGUGGCAGACGCCGUUCUCGUUCGCCUGUACGUAGACGGUCUCGUAGUCCUCGCCGUCGGUCGUAUUCACCUAGAUCUAGAUCACGUUCGGCCGGUAGCCGUUCCCCUGUUCGACGUGGGAAAUUUUCACGGAGUCCAGUUGGGCGAAAAUCUUUGAGCCGUAGUCAAAGUCGGAACGGAGUAGCAGCUGGACGCAGUGUAUCACGCAGUCGAAGUCGGUCCUAAAGAUUGUGACUUGACGGAAUAAAUAAAAUGGUUGAUUUAAUAAAUCAGAGUUGCCUAAAUAAUAGUGCACAGUACGCAUAGAAAUAUCCGCGUAUAGUUGAUUAGCAGCGAUUUCGUUUUAAAGCACGUGAUUUGGGCAUAGUUCUGCUAAUUCAACAGGCAAACAAAGAUUGCUGUAUGAGCUGCUGUAAGAGCGCGAAAGGGAUAAAGGCAGAGACAGUAAAAUGAAAUAUAAAAGAAAUUUAUGGGGAGAAAGAAUAUGCAAGGAACAGGAGGCAGAGAUUCUUAUAUUUAUUGGUGAUUGCUGCGUAGAGAAUUUACAAUAUACGUACUCCUGCUACUCUUGUUGCUGCUACAGCUGCUGUUUGCUGUAAUAUUUAUACACCAAUCGGGCCGCUGCACUUACAAUUUACUGCCUAAUUAUGCCUAACACUUGACUGGAUUUCUCGUACAUCGUCUAGAGAAACGCUAAUCAAGUGCUAAGCUCACGAUAAAUUAUUGUUCGAGUUCGCAUCCUGUAGAGUAAAAUGUUGCUGUUUACUGAGAGUGAUGUUGCUGCCUCUGCUGCUGCAUCAAUCUAGUUAUGUAACGUAGAUACAAAAUCCAGCCAAAGUACUUCCUUUAAAUGCAGAUACUUGAUAGUAAAUAAGUAUUCCGAAGCCUGCUACGUACGACCAGCCAUUUAAUUUUUAUAUCUGGUAGGCGGUUAGCGGUUGGCGGUUUCAGUGUAUAUGCGCAGCAGUUGGAGCGGUAUAAGGAUAGAAAGUUUUGAUUGAUGCAUGCGUAAAUCUUGAAACCUGUACUUGAUCCAAAAGUUCAGCGAAAUCUAUGAUAUCGGACAAAUAUUUGAAGGCAGUCCAGUAGUAUUUAUAGCGGCAUGCUUAAAUGCGUAGACAAUGCCGUAGUACGUAUAACUGGUGCAAGUAGCUGUAGCCGGUAGCUGUGUGUUGCUGCUAUAUGCUGUUAUUCACUUCAGUACGCUUCAUCGUACGUUGUUCAUCUUCGUUUGGGUGGUAGUUAAUGACUUUUUGAUGUUGGUGGUCUGCUGUUUCGAGUUCUGAAUGGUUGCUGUUUCCCCGAAAGAUUUUAUUUCUCCAAGUUUGCAGCACAGGUUAAUCAGUGAAUUUUCGACACUUCCGAAGUCAAACUGCGAUUCAAGGGGUGCGAUGACUGGGAAGUUCAAAGCUAAAAAAAUCUUGGUGAAUGUGUGACGAUUUUGGUACAGGUAGGUGAUUGUGAAUUUAUGUAAUAAUGAGUUUUAUUGCAGAACAAGAUUUACCAAUUUAGAAAUAAAAAUAAAAUAAAUUGGCUGUGAUUGUAUUAAAACUGUUUUUUAUUGAUAAAUAUAUUAGGCCCAAUGAAAAAUGAAUGAAUGAUAAUAAAGUUAGCACUUCAAACUCA